GCGAUAAGCGCCGGUAAGGUGAUAUGAACCGUUAUAACCGGCGAUACCCGAAUGGGGAAACCCAGUGUGACUCGUCACACUAUCAUUAACUGAAUCCAUAGGUUAAUGAGGCGAACCGGGGGAACUGAAACAUCUAAGUACCCCGAGGAAAAGAAAUCAACCGAGAUUCCCCCAGUAGCGGCGAGCGAACGGGGAGGAGCCCAGAGCCUGAAUCAGCAUGUGUGUUAGUGGAAGCGUCUGGAAAGGCGCGCGAUACAGGGUGACAGCCCCGUACACAAAAGCGCAUGUGCUGUGAGCUCGAUGAGUAGGGCGGGACACGUGGUAUCCUGUCUGAAUAUGGGGGGACCAUCCUCCAAGGCUAAAUACUCCUGACUGACCGAUAGUGAACCAGUACCGUGAGGGAAAGGCGAAAAGAACCCCGGCGAGGGGAGUGAAAAAGAACCUGAAACCGUGUACGUACAAGCAGUGGGAGCACAGGUUUACCUGUGUGACUGCGUACCUUUUGUAUAAUGGGUCAGCGACUUAUAUUCUGUAGCAAGGUUAACCGUAUAGGGGAGCCGGAGGGAAACCGAGUCUUAAC
rnacentral:rRNA from 1 species